rnacentral:rRNA from 1 species
UUGCAGUUAAAAAGCUCGUAGUUGGAUUUCUGGUUGAAGCGACCGGUCGGGCGUUGAUUCGUCUGCACUGGAGUCGGUUUUGGCCAUCCUCUAGGAAAGUGCGUCUGGUAUUAAGUUGUCGGGCGUAUGAUCCUGGUCUUUUACUGUGAAAAAAUUAGAGUGUUUAAAGCAGGCCUUCGCCUUGAAUACAUUAGCAUGGAAUAAUAAGAUAGGACUUUGGUCUAUUUUGUUGGUUUGCAGACCGAAGUAAUGAUUAAUAGGGAUAGUUGGGGGUAUUUAUAUUCCGAUGUCAGAGGUGAAAUUCUUAGAUUUUCGGAAGAUAAACUUAUGCGAAAGCAUUUACCAAGGAUGUUUUCAUUAAUCAAGAACGAAAGUUAGGGGAUCG